rnacentral:rRNA from 1 species
ACGGGGGGUGCAAGCGUUGUUCGGAAUUAUUGGGCGUAAAGAGCGUGUAGGCGGCUUGGCAAGUCAGAUGUGAAAGCCCUGGGCUUAACCCAGGAAGUGCAUUUGAAACUGCUUAGCUAGAGUAGGGGAGAGGGAAGUGGAAUUCCUGGUGUAGCGGUGUAAUUCGUAGAUAUCAGGAGGAGCACCGGUGGCGAAGGCGACUUCCUGGGCCGUUACUGACGCUGAGGCGCGAGAGCGUGGUUAGCAAACAG